UCAGCUCCAGGGAAGGCAGAAGCCCCAAUUUUGCCCAUCUGGGCAGAGGGAUCCUCCUCCUCUCAUCACCGGUGCUUCUUUCUGCUUGCUCAUGAAGAGUUGAAGUACUUGGAGGAACUGGAAGCUCACAGUCCUGCCUGGAAGUCCUGCCACCAACGACGUGUGCCAUAUGAACUAAAUCUGGGAUUAAUUAAGUGAGAGUGAACUCCUAACCCAUUUGAACUGUCAUGCUGAAGGUCUAGCACAAAGGAUUAGGGAGUUUACAAAGACUAAUCACCAUUGCAGGAUCCUGUGAGCUACCCUUCACACAACUGCCUUUGUAGUAAAAUGAGCCUUCAAAGUGACCGUUGCACACCGAGAACCACAAAGACAAAAUCAAGGAGGUGCUUAUUGGACACUGAGUUGCUUUUGCUCAAAGAAAACUCUUUGUUCUCUUCAGAAAACAAGAAAGUGUCUUAGCCUUGAAGUCAUCUCUCUAAUCAAAGUUCCAUAUCCACUGACAUCCAGGGAAAAUAUAAGCUAGAGAUGACAGAUUGGUUAUGCUCUUCACAGAAUCA